GGAGGCGUCGCCUAGUCCGGUCGAUGGCGCCCGCCUGCUAAGCGGGUUGGGGUCUCAAAGCCCCUCGCGAGUUCAAAUCUCGCCGCCUCCGCCA
rnacentral:tRNA from 1 species